rnacentral:rRNA from 1 species
GUCCACGCCGUAAACGAUGAAUACUAGGUGUCGGGGGACAAAGUCUUUCGGUGCCGCCGCAAACGCAAUAAGUAUUCCACCUGGGGGAGUACGUUCGCAAGAAUGAAACUCAAAAGGAAUUGACGGGGACCCGCACAAGCGGUGGAGCAUGUGGUUUAAUUCGAUGAUACGCGAGGAACCUUACCAAGGCUUAAAUGUAGAUUGACCGGUUUGGAAACAGACUUUUCGCAAGACAAUUUACAAGGUGCUGCAUGGUUGUCGU